AAGUUUUGCUUUUUCUCCCCCCCACCCCUCCCCAAAUUCCUCUGGGCGGUGGGGGAGAGCUGAUGCUUUUCUGUUUGACAGCCCCCAAUGGAUUAUCCACAGUGCAGGGGAUGGGCAGCGCUUGGUGCAGGUGUGUCCCCCAAAAGCAACCCCCAAGCCUCCAGCCUGGGGCUGCGUGCUGCCCUGAUGGGCGGGCUCCUGGGGUCCCCCAGUCUCGCUGCUUCACUGUCUUUUUGCAAAUUGGCCUCAUUCAUUUUAUUUCAUUUUACUUGCUUAGGACCUCGGGGGCAGUUCUGCGCCCACGUGUGGCUUUCCUACCCUGAGAGGCACCCUUGAAGAUGAGCAGAUGCUUAUGGACAAACCACCCAGGGAUCUUGCGCCACGAUGGGCCCAGUACAGAACAACCAGCACUUCAGCUCCGCUGGAACAAAGCGGAGUGGAUGUAAAUCAGCUCUUCUCGCUUUGCUGCAGCCGCCCGCCCUCGGUUCUGCCUUGUGCCAUGCCCUCUGUCGGGGCUGAAGCCUGCUCUGUGUUGGCACACAUGGUGCCAGUGGAACCAGGAUCCUGGAGUCUCAUGCCUUCCCCAUCAUUGCUCUGGUUGUGCUCCUGUGAGCUCAAGACCCGUCUCACAUCACGUACAUCUCAGCUGGAAAGAGGAAUUAAAGAUCUUGCAGUAAAUAAAGAUGAAAACCCAAACAGCAUGCGUGGCGC
ensembl:lncRNA